CCUUACUCUCCCCACUUCCUGUUUUGCAGUCCUCUUUAUCUUCAGAUUCUGUCAUUAACCACGCAAAGAAAAGACAACAUUUCAUGGGUUACAGCAGAGCAACCAAACUUAAUGAACAAACCUCACACAGACAUGGUCAGAUGGAACAGAGCAGAAACUUGAUCCAGUGCCCCUCCAUAUUCUUGAUGUCCCUCCAUCCCAGAGAUCUUCCUUGAACACUGCACCACCCAACUGCCCUGCUGCCUCAUAGCCACCACCCUGCCUUCCUCUGCUGCCCAGAUCUCCUUCUGCAUUACUACGGCAAAUGACUGCAAAAUAAGGGUUGACUUUGGAAGGAAACUCAAGUUGACAUUAUACUCUGGUCAGGAACUACAACUGAUGUCCUUCCUGGAGCUGACAGUACCCUCGGAGGAAAGGACUGAGGAGGUACAUGAGCCUAAGCUUGGAGCACUUGGGAAUCUUUGAGGUCAAAGGAACCACCCACAAGAUAUUGGUUGUGGAUAUCACCAGGUGGGCGGAGACAGCAUCCAGAUGGCUGGAAGAACUGAACAAUGGCACAACCAGACUGGCAGAGGAGAGGGAGGGCAGUGGCAAGUAGACCUGAGGGCCCAAGGGGGUGAUUCCAGGACUACUGUCGAGCCCCUCUGAAUCGUUGUGGGUCAGUCGACUUAACACAGUUGAAGGGGGCCCACUUCAAAACCAGAUGAAGUUGUGGAGUUCUGAACCACAAGGAUGAAUAAAUGAAAUGUUUGAGUAUAUCAAGUAAGCACAGUAAUAAAUAUCCUGUGGGUAA